AUUGGAACAAAGAGGCUUCUAUUGCUGAAAGCAGGAUAAAGAGAUGGGGAGGACACGAUUAAAGAUUCAGAAGCGAAAAACAAUGAAAAAAUAACUUAGUCCUGAAAGUGAAUGGAAAUGCACCAUGGAUUGUGAUUCUUUGAAGGAAAAGCAAUGAUUUAUCAAUAAUUUCCCAGGGAAAAUAUGCACUUCUCAUCAGAAAACUUUUCAUUUUCGUUUAGAAGAAGAUCAGGAUAUUGAAACCCCAAGACUUUUGCUUACAAUUAUCUAGAGGUGUACCAAUAUGUAGACCCUGCCAUGGCCAGUUUAAUCAACUUCGAUUCCGGAUUAAAC
rnacentral:misc_RNA from 1 species